GUGGGGAAUAUUGCACAAUGGGCGAAAGCCUGAUGCAGCAACGCCGCGUGAGUGAUGAAGGCCUUCGGGUUGUAAAGCUCUGUCUUCUGGGACGAUAAUGACGGUACCAGAGGAGGAAGCCACGGCUAACUACGUGCCAGCAGCCGCGGUAAUACGUAGGUGGCAAGCGUUGUCCGGAUUUACUGGGCGUAAAGAGUGCGUAGGCGGCGAGCCAAGUUUGGUGUGAAAUCUCCCGGCUUAACCGGGAGGGUGCGCCGAAAACUGGUUGGCUGGAGUAUGGGAGAGGAAAGCGGAAUUCCUGGUGUAGCGGUGAAAUGCGUAGAUAUCAGGAGGAACACCUGCGGUGUAGACAGCUUUCUGGACCAAAACUGGCGCUGAGGCACGAAAGCGUGGGUAGCAAACA
rnacentral:rRNA from 1 species